UGGCUCAGUAACACGUGGAGAAUCUAACCUUUGGUGGAGGAUAAUCUCGGGAAACUGAGAAUAAUACUCCAUAAACAUAGGGUGCUGGAAUGCUUCUAUGUUGAAAGGCAACGCCAAAGGAUGACUCUGCGACCUAUCAGGCUGUAGUGAGUGUAAUGGACUCACUAACCUGCAACGGGUACGGGUGUUGGAAGACAUUGCCCAGAGAUGGACUCUGAGACAUGAGUCCAGGUUCUACGGAACGCAGCAGGCGCGAAAACUCCGCAAUGUACGAAAGUACGACGGGGGAAUUCUGAGUGCUUACGCCUUGCGUAGGCUGUUUUCUUGUCUAAAAAACAAGGAGAGUAAGGGCUGGGUAAGACGGGUGCCAUCUCGUGCAAUUCUGCACUUAUUGUGUUCGUUGCACGAAGCACAAGCCGCCGCGGUAAUACCCGCGGCCCGAGUGGUGCUCAUUAUUAUUGAGCCUAAAACGUCCGUAGCCGGUUUAAUAAAUUCUUGGGUAAAUCAUAUCGCUUAACGAUAUGAAUUCUGAGAACACUGCUAAACUCGGGAAUGGGAGAGGCCAGAGGUACUUUCAGGGUAGGGGUAAAAUCCCGUAAUCCUGAGAGGACCACCGGUGGCGAAGGCGUCUGGCUAGAACAUAUUCGACGGUAAGGGACGAAGCCCUGGGGCGCAAACGGGAUUAGAUACCCCGGUAGUCCAGGGUGUAAACGCUGUAGAUUUGGUGUUGGAAAUCCUACGGGGAUUCCCAGUGCCGGAGAGGAGUUGUUAAAUCUACUGCUUGGGGAGUACGGUCGCAAGACUGAAACUUAAAGGAAUUGGCGGGGGAGCACCGCAACGGGUGGAGCGUGCGGUUUAAUUGGAUUCAACGCC
rnacentral:rRNA from 1 species